UGGCUCUCGCAUCGAUGAAGAACGCAGCGAAAUGCGAUACGUAAUGUGAAUUGCAGAAUUCAGUGAAUCAUCGAAUCUUUGAACGCACCUUGCACCCCGUGGCUUACCACGGGGUACGCCCGUUCGAGUGUCACGUUAACCAUCGCCUAAGUGAAGCUUUGCUUUGCUCUGGCGGAUCUGGACGCUGCCGUCGUCGGCUCGUCUUAAAUGCAUUAGCGAGGGUGGACCGUUUUACCGCCAGGCGUGAUACAUAUUCUCGUCUACAGGUUCGACAUUGCCGCCCUGCUUCGAAUCGCGCCGCGUCGGCGCAUGUAUACCAUGUUUUGACCUCGAAUCGGGUGGGACUACCCGCUGA
rnacentral:misc_RNA from 1 species